GACGAACGCUGGCGGCGUGCCUAAUACAUGCCCGUCGAAAGCAGUGGGGACGGGUGAGUACCACGUGGGUAACCUCCCAUCAGAGGGGAUACCACUUGGAAACAGGUGCUAAACCGAUACUGAUGGAUGGACCUGCUGUGCAUUAGAUAGUUGGUGGGGUAACGGCUAACCAAGGCCACGAUGCAUAGCCGACCUUGGAGUGGUAUCGUCCACACUGUGACUGCGACACGGCCCAGACUCCUACGGGAGGCAGCAGUAGGGAAUCUUCGGCAAUUGACGAAAGUCUGCCCGAGCAACGCCGCGUGAGUGAAGAAGGUUUUCGGAUCGUAAAACUCUGUUGUUAGAGAAGCGGUAUCUAACCAGAAAGCCACGGCUAACUACGUGCCAGCAGCCGCGGUAAUAC
rnacentral:rRNA from 1 species